AUUGAACGCUGGCGGCAUGCUUUACACAUGCAAGUCGAACGGUAACAGGCCGCAAGGUGCUGACGAGUGGCGAACGGGUGAGUAAUGCAUCGGAACGUGCCCAGUCGUGGGGGAUAACUACUCGAAAGAGUAGCUAAUACCGCAUACGAUCUAUGGAUGAAAGCGGGGACCGGAAGGGCUCGGGCGGAUUGGGCGGGCGAUGUCAGAUUAGGUAGUUGGUGGGGUAAAGGCUCACCAAGCCAACGAUCUGUAGCUGGUCUGAGAGGACGACCAGCCACACUGGGACUGAGACACGGCCCAGACUCCUACGGGAGGCAGCAGUGGGGAAUUUUGGACAAUGGGCGCAAGCCUGAUCCAGCAAUGCCGCGUGCAGGAAGAAGGCCUUCGGGUUGUAAACUGCUUUUGUACGGAACGAAACGGCUCUGGUUAAUACCCGGGGCUAAUGACGGUACCGUAAGAAUAAGCACCGGCUAACUACGUG
rnacentral:rRNA from 1 species